rnacentral:tRNA from 1 species
GCGCUUGUAGCUUAGCUGGAUAGAGCAUUGCCCUCCGGAGGCAAAGGUCGCGGGUUCGAAUCCCCCCAAGCGCA